rnacentral:lncRNA from 1 species
GACCCAGCGCGUGUGCGCUCACCAGCUCCCGCGGCCUGGGCUCCCCCGGAAGGGGGAGACGGGAAGACCGCCGACCCACGACUGCCCGUCUCCCUCCCUCCCUCCUGGCUUCCUCCCCGUGACGGAGGAGCGUCCCGUGCGCCCCAGGAAGCACUCCCGGGUCGGGCUGCAGCGCACUGCGGAGGGCUCGUUCACCUUGAUGCCGGCCUGGGGCUUCAAUGCCACCACCCCACCCCACAAAAAACCGAAAUUAGUUCUCCGAGGCCAGGGAGGGGCGCCACACCCAUCCAAGUGAGGGAUUUGGGGACAGAGGGCGCCGCCUGGUGGCACACAAAUCCGAUCCAGCCGAGGAAGACGCCUGAAGCGUGAAGCCGAGCCCUUUUCCCUAUUUGCUUUGUUUUUGCUUAUUUGUAUUUUGAGGCAGGGUCUCGCUGAGUUGCUCAGGUUGAGUUUCAAAUUGCAAUAUUCCUGCCUCCGCCUCUCAGCUUACAGGUGCAUACCUUGAGCACCAAUUUUUCCCUUCACUAUUAGGGACUGAACCUGGGACUUUUUUCUCUCUCUCUCUUUUUUUUUUUUUUUUUUUGCUACCUGGGAUCAAACUCAGGACCUUGCGCUUGCAAGGCAGGUAUGGUGCCACUGAGCUAAAUCCCUGGCCCUUGAACCUGGGACUUUUGCACUGAGCUACAUUCCCAACCCUCUAUGAGACAGUGUCUCUGUAGGUCUCUAAGUUGCCCCAGCUGGAUUUUAACUCGUGAUCCUCCGGCCUCAGCCUCCCAGAGUGCUGGGAUUACAGGUGUGCACCACUAUGUGCAGUGCCAAAUAUUGUUCUAACAUUUAACUGACAUUGUCUCACGUAAUGUUCAACACCUUCCUUUGCUCCUGCAUGUGUGUUCUGAGCUUCCCUCAAAGGUGUCGGGUAUGCGCAGGGCUUUGUGCCUGUUCUGAGAACCACCAUUCGGGGCCAUGAAUCGAAGAAAGGCCCUGCCGUCGUGAACCAUCCAGUUCAGCAGCUCCCCAGAGCCCGCCAUGAGUGAGCUGAGGGCUGUCCUGAGCCCAUCCUGCCCUUGGCCCUGACUAUCAAAGCCUUGAGAGAAACACAGAAGCCACAUCUCUCAAAUCUGCACAUUAUGCAAAAGCUGAGAGGUAGAUUUGUUUUUUUCUGGUACCGGGAAUGAGGCAGUUGUGAGGCAGGUGUGGCGCCACUGAGCUAAAUCCCCAGUGUAGAUUUUGACAGAACAGGAAAAAAUAAACCAAAUGAGAUUUAAUAGGGAUAAAUGAAAAUUCUGCUUUAAAAAAAAAUUUUUUUUUUGAGAUAGGGUCUCCUUAUGUAGCCCAGGCUGGCCUCGAACUCCUGGCAAUCCUCCUGCCUCAGCUCCUUGAGUGUUGGGAUUACAGGUGUGCACCGCCACACCCAGCUUCACCCCCAG